GUGUCAGCAGCCGCGGUAAUACGUAGGUGGCAAGCGUUAUCCGGAUUCACUGGGCGUAAAGCGCGUGCAGGCGGUUUCGUAAGUCGGACGUGAAAGCUCCUGGCUUAACUGGGAGAGGUCGUUCGAUACUGCGGGGCUUGAGGUCGGGAGAGGGACGUGGAAUUCCCGGUGUAGUGGUGGAAUGCGUAGAUAUCGGGAGGAACACCAGUGGCGAAGGCGACGUCCUGGCCCGCACCUGACGCUGAGACGCGAAAGCGUGGGUAGCGAACGGGAUUAGAAACCCCAGUAGUCC
rnacentral:rRNA from 1 species